GUUGAACGCUGGCGGCAGGCCUAACACAUGCAAGUCGAAUGGUAACAGGAAACAGCUUGCUGUUUCGCUGACGAGUGGCGGACGGGUGAGUAAUGUCUGGAAAACUGCCUGAUGGAGGGGGAUAACUACUGGAGACGGUAGCUAAUACCGCAUAACGUCGCAAGACCAAAGAGGGGGACCUUCGGGCCUCUUGCCAUCAGAUGUGCCCAGAUGGGAUUAGCUAGUAGGUGGGGUAACGGCUCACCUAGGCGACGAUCCCUAGCUGGUCUGAGAGGAUGACCAGCCACACUGGAACUGAGACACGGUCCAGACUCCUACGGGAGGCAGCAGUGGGGAAUAUUGCACAAUGGGCGCAAGCCUGAUGCAGCCAUGCCGCGUGUAUGAAGAAGGCCUUCGGGUUGUAAAGUACUUUCAGCGGGGAGGAAGGGAGUAAAGUUAAUACCUUUGCUCAUUGACGUUACCCGCAGAAGAAGCACCGGCUAACUCCGUG
rnacentral:rRNA from 1 species